CCAGCAGCCGCGGUAAUUCCAGCUCCAAUAGCGUAUAUUAAAGUUGUUGCAGUUAAAAAGCUCGUAGUUGAAAUUCUAGUUGUAUUGGGCUCCUGCACUCGAUGUAUGAGUACCAGCAGCUAUCCGUCUGCAAAUACAUGUCCUUCCUUAACCGGUUGGCUGUAUGAGUAGGCAUUUUACCUUGAGAAAAACAGAGUGUUCCAGGCAGGUUUGUCCGGAAUGCAUUAGCAUGGAAUAAUAGAACAUGACUGAAGUCGAUUUAUUGGUUUGAGGCUUUAGUAAUGAUUAAUAGGAACAGUCGGGGGCAUUAGUACUUGUCAGCUAGAGGUGAAAUUCCAGGAUUU
rnacentral:rRNA from 1 species